rnacentral:rRNA from 1 species
CCUACGGGCGGCUGCAGUGGGGAACAUUGGACAAUGGGGGCAACCCUGAUCCAGCCAUGCCGCGUGUGUGAAGAAGGCCCUCGGGUUGUAAAGCACUUUCAGUGAGGAAGAACGCCUGGUGGUUAAUACCCAUCAGGAAAGACAUCACUCACAGAAGAAGCACCGGCUAACUCCGUGCCAGCAGCCGCGGUAAUACGGAGGGUGCGAGCGUUAAUCGGAAUUACUGGGCGUAAAGCGCGCGUAGGUGGCUUGAUAAGCCGGUUGUGAAAGCCCCGGGCUCAACCUGGGAACGGCAUCCGGAACUGUCAAGCUAGAGUGCAGGAGAGGAAGGUAGAAUUCCCGGUGUAGCGGUGAAAUGCGUAGAGAUCGGGAGGAAUACCAGUGGCGAAGGCGGCCUUCUGGACUGACACUGACACUGAGGUGCGAAAGCGUGGGUAGCAAACAGGAUUAGAUACCCCAGUAGUC